GACGAACGCUGGCGGCGUGCCUAAUACAUGCAAGUCGAACGCAGUGGGGACGGGUGAGUAACACGUGGGUAACCUCCCAUCAGAGGGGAUAACACUUGGAAACAGGUGCUAAACCGAUACUGAUGGAUGGACCCGCGGUGCAUUAGCUAGUUGGUUAGGUAACGGCGCACCAAGGCGACGAUGCAUAGCCGCGCUGAGAGGUUGAUCGGCCACACUGGGACGUGGCGCCGGCCCAGACGCCUAGGGGAGUGAGCAGUGGGGAAUCUUCGGCAAUGGACGAAAGGCUGACCGAGCACCGCCGCGUGAGUGAAGAAGGUUUUCGGAUCGUAAGUCUCUUUUGUUAGAGAAGCGGUAUCUAACCAGAAAGCCACGGCUAACUACGUGCCAGCAGCCGCGGUAAUAC
rnacentral:rRNA from 1 species